CACAGUUUGAAUGUGCAAUAUUUUAUUAUUUUGGAGCUUAAUUAGUCUAGCUCCUUCACUAAGAUGGUAAACCUAACAAUGCUGAUGGUAAUUGAUAACAGGUGAAAUCAUUAAUUAAGAUGGUGCUUGCUGAGUAAAUCUACAUGAGAUUGGUGUGUUGCAAUUUUGGGUCAUGAACUGUAACUUCUGGCAGGUUAAUCUGCUCCACCAUGUGAACAAAUAUCGUAC